GCCGGUUUAGCUCAAUGGGUAGAGCACCUGACCUGUAAUCAGGCGGCGUCGGUUCGACUCCGGCAACCGGCUCCA
rnacentral:tRNA from 1 species